CGGAGAAAAAUGCGCCUGUAGUUUAUUUAGCAAGCCCGAAAAAAUCGUCGCGGAUUUAGUUCUUGUUAGUGCCGCUCCGAUAAAUCUUCGGU
rnacentral:sRNA from 1 species